AGUGAACGCUGGCGGUAGGCCUAACACAUGCAAGUCGAACGGCAGCACAGUAAGAGCUUGCUCUUACGGGUGGCGAGUGGCGGACGGGUGAGGAAUACAUCGGAAUCUACUUUUUCGUGGGGGAUAACGUAGGGAAACUUACGCUAAUACCGCAUACGACCUACGGGUGAAAGCAGGGGAUCUUCGGACCUUGCGCGAUUGAAUGAGCCGAUGUCGGAUUAGCUAGUUGGCGGGGUAAAGGCCCACCAAGGCGACGAUCCGUAGCUGGUCUGAGAGGAUGAACAGCCACACUGGAACUGAGACACGGCCCAGAGUCCUACGGGAGGCAGCAGUGGGGAAGAUUGGACAAUGGGCGAAAGCCUGAUCCAGCCAUACCGCGUGGGUGAAGAAGGCCUUCGGGUGGUAAAGCCCUUUUGUUGGGAAAGAAAAGCAGCAGGUUAAUACCCCGCUGUUCGGACGGUACCCAAAGAAUAAGCACCGGCUAACUUCGU
rnacentral:rRNA from 1 species